AAACACUGAAAGUUGUUGUCAAACCUAUACAUUACAAACAACAUUAGAUGGAAUAUAAAAUGGCAAAUUUUAGAGCUUCUCUAAUGGUAAUACUAAGUAGAGUUAACAUACAAAGAAAUGUGAUUCAACAAUGGCCAAAAGGUUUAUGGACUGAACACAAAGUAAAAUCAGAAAAGCUGUACCAUCUCAUGCCAUCUCUUGAUCAAAGUGAAAGCAAACUCACUUGGUUGAAAGCUAUUGGCAUUCACAAUGGAGAAGUAACCAAAUCUUGUCCAGUUGGAUCAACAAGGUCUUUAAUUAAUCUUGAAUCAUCUUCAAGAGGUAUCAUGCCCCAGAACCUAUUUCCCCUAUUCGUUCUCAUUCCUGGGAUUUUGGAGGAAAUGGAAUCCACCUUUCUGCGCUACAACUUUGAAUUGGA